UCCUGUACUAUUCAAGCUUCCUUCCAGUGAAUUGCUUCUGUUCUAUAAGAUUGGGACAAAUGUUCAAAGUUGGAGCGGAUGCAUGAAGCGAUCUUAUGAUGGCGGUAUGACAUGGAAAGAGAGAGAACAGCUUCCCCCUGGUAUACUAGGACCAAUAAAGAACAAGCCUCUGUUACUGGAAA